UGGCUCAGAACGAACGCUGGCGGCGUGGAUAAGACAUGCAAGUCGAACGAGAGAAUUGCUAGCUUGCUAAUAAUUCUCUAGUGGCGCACGGGUGAGUAACACGUGAGUAACCUGCCCCCGAGAGCGGGAUAGCCCUGGGAAACUGGGAUUAAUACCGCAUAGUAUCGAAAGAUUAAAGCAGCAAUGCGCUUGGGGAUGGGCUCGCGGCCUAUUAGUUAGUUGGUGAGGUAACGGCUCACCAAGGCGAUGACGGGUAGCCGGUCUGAGAGGAUGUCCGGCCACACUGGAACUGAGACACGGUCCAGACACCUACGGGUGGCAGCAGUCGAGAAUCAUUCACAAUGGGGGAAACCCUGAUGGUGCGACGCCGCGUGGGGGAAUGAAGGUCUUCGGAUUGUAAACCCCUGUCAUGUGGGAGCAAAUUAAAAAGAUAGUACCACAAGAGGAAGAGACGGCUAACUCUGUGCCAGCAGCCGCGGUAAUACAGAGGUCUCAAGCGUUGUUCGGAAUCACUGGGCG
rnacentral:rRNA from 1 species